rnacentral:misc_RNA from 1 species
ACGUCAUCCCCACCUUCCUCCAGUUUAUCACUGGCAGUCUCCUUUGAGUUCCCGGCCGGACCGCUGGCAACAAAGGAUAAGGGUUGCGCUCGUUGCGGGACUUAACCCAACAUUUCACAACACGAGCUGACGACAGCCAUGCAGCACCUGUCUCAGAGUUCCCGAAGGCACCAAUCCAUCUCUGGAAAGUUCUCUGGAUGUCAAGAGUAGGUAAGGUUCUUCGCGUUGCAUCGAAUUAAACCACAUGCUCCACCGCUUGUGCGGGCCCCCGUCAAUUCAUUUGAGUUUUAACCUUGCGGCCGUACUCCCCAGGCGGUCGACUUAACGCGUUAGCUCCGGAAGCCACGCCUCAAGGGCACAACCUCCAAGUCGACAUCGUUUACGGCGUGGACUACCAGGG